AUGGGGCUGUCUCGGGGGUCUCACAGCACGUCCUAUGUUACAGUGUCCUCAGCCACACCCACACUCUUCCCACUGAGCCUUAAGAGCACCGACCAGUCCGGUCAUGUGGUCAUCGGCUGCCUGGUCCAGGGCUUCUUCCCAUCGGCCCCCAUCAACGUGACCUGGAGCCAAAGCGGGGCGGGCACCACCCUCAGGAACUAUCUCCCAAUGCAAUCCGCCGGGGGCCUGUACACCAUGACCAGCCAGCUGACCCUGCCAGCCAGCCAGUGCCCAGAGAGCGCGACAUGCCACGUGCAGCACAACUCCAGCCCCAGGCAGGAUAAGAUCGUGCCCUGCAAAAUCGAAGGCUCAAACAAAUGCUGCAAACCUCACCUGACGCUGCACCGGCCUGCCCUCGAGGACCUGCUCCUGGGCUCCAAUGCCAACCUCACGUGUACACUCAGUGGCCUGGAGAAGCCCAAGGGUGCCUCCUUCACCUGGGCGCCCACAGGUGGAAAGGAUGCCAUCCAGGGGACCCCGGAGAAGGAUGCCUUUGGCUGCUACAGCGUGUCCAGCGUCCUGCCGGGCUGCGCUGAGCCGUGGAAACGCGGGGAGAAAUUCACCUGCACUGUCACCCACCCUGAGGUCAAGAACUCGUUAUCAGCCUCCAUCACCAAACCCUCAGGGAGCUACCUCCCACCGCAGGUCCACCUGCUGCCGCCCCCCGCCGAGGAGCUGGCCCUCAACGAGUUGGUGACACUGACGUGCGUGGUGCGGGGCUUCAGCCCCGAGGAUGUGCUGCUGCGGUGGCUGCAUGGAGGCGAGCAGCUCUCCCCAGAGAAGUACCUGACGUGGGGCCCCCUGCCGGAGAACAGCAGAGACAGCACUUUCGCCAUGACCAGCGUGCUGCGUGUGGAGGCCGAGAACUGGAAGAACGGGGACACCUACUCCUGCAUGGUGGGCCACGAGGCCCUGCCCCUGAGCUUCACUCAGAAGACCAUCGACCGCUUGGCGGGUAAACCCACCCAUGUCAAUGUGUCCGUGGUCUUGUCAGAGGUGGACGGCACCUGCUACUGA